UACGAAGGGGGCUAGCGUUGCUCGGAAUUACUGGGCGUAAAGCGCACGUAGGCGGCUUUCUAAGUCGGGGGUGAAAUCCUGGAGCUCAACUCCAGAACUGCCUUCGAUACUGGAGAGCUUGAGUCCGGGAGAGGUGAGUGGAACUGCGAGUGUAGAGGUGAAAUUCGUAGAUAUUCGCAAGAACACCAGUGGCGAAGGCGGCUCACUGGCCCGGUACUGACGUGCGUGA
rnacentral:rRNA from 1 species